rnacentral:rRNA from 1 species
UGCCUACGGGGGGCAGCAGUGAGGAAUAUUGGUCAAUGGGCGCGAGCCUGAACCAGCCAAGUAGCGUGAAGGAUGACUGCCCUACGGGUUGUAAACUUCUUUUAUAAAGGAAUAAAGUGAGGCACGUGUGCCUUUUUGUAUGUAUUUUAUGAAUAAGGAUCGGCUAACUCCGUGCCAGCAGCCGCGGUAAUACGGAGGAUGCGAGCGUUAUCCGGAUUUAUUGGGUUUAAAGGGUGCGUAGGCGGAAUAUCAAGUCAGCGGUAAAAAUUCGGGGCUCAACCCCGUCGUUCCGUUGAAACUGCUGU